rnacentral:rRNA from 1 species
ACCAGCAGCCAUAAUACCCUGCAGUUUACAACUGGUAAACCACUCAAGCUAAGCAGAUGUGAGCUUGGGCAGUACCUGAAUGGGAGACCUCCUGGGAAAAAACUAAGGUUGCUGCUGGAA